rnacentral:tRNA from 1 species
UUCCUGGUGGUCCAGUGGCUAAGACUCUGGGCUCCCAGUACAGGGGCCUGGGUUCAAUCCCUGGUCAGGGAA